GUCUAGGGCCAUGCCACCCUGAACGUGCCUGAUUUUGUCUGAUCUCGGAAGCUAAGCAAGGUCGGGCCUGGUUAAUACUUGGAUGGGAGACCACCUAGGAAUACCAGGUGCUGUAGGAG
rnacentral:rRNA from 1 species